UACGAAGGUGGCUAGCGUUGUUCGGCAUUACUGGGCGUAAAGCGCGCGCAGGCGGCCUUGCAAGUCAGUGGUGAAAUCCCAGAGCUCAACUCCGGAAUUGCCAUUGAAACUGCUGGGCCUCGAGUACGGGAGAGGUGAGUGGAAUUCCCAGUGUAGAGGUGAAAGGCGUAGAUAUGGGGAAGAACACCGGUGGCGAAGGCGGCUCACUGGCCCGUUACUGACGCUCAGGCGCGACAGCGUGGGGAUCAAACAGG
rnacentral:rRNA from 1 species